rnacentral:rRNA from 1 species
GAUGAACGCUGGCGGCGUGCCUAAUACAUGCAAGUCGAGCGAACAGAUAAGGAGCUUGCUCCUUUGACGUUAGCGGCGGACGGGUGAGUAACACGUGGGUAACCUACCUAUAAGACUGGGAUAACUUCGGGAAACCGGAGCUAAUACCGGAUAACAUUUGGAACCGCAUGGUUCUAAAGUGAAAGAUGGUUUUGCUAUCACUUAUAGAUGGACCCGCGCCGUAUUAGCUAGUUGGUAAGGUAACGGCUUACCAAGGCGACGAUACGUAGCCGACCUGAGAGGGUGAUCGGCCACACUGGAACUGAGACACGGUCCAGACUCCUACGGGAGGCAGCAGUAGGGAAUCCUCCGCAAUGGGCGAAAGCCUGACGGAGCAACGCCGCGUGAGUGAUGAAGGGUUUCGGCUCGUAAAACUCUGUUAUUAGGGAAGAACAAACGUGUAAGUAACUGUGCACGUCUUGACGGUACCUAAUCAGAAAGCCACGGCUAACUACGUG